GAGAGACACGGAGAGAGAGAGAGAGAGAGAGAGAGACACGGAGAGAGAGAGAGAGAGAGAGAGAGAGAGAGAAAAUUCUAAAUUCCACGAUCAUCAGCCACUGACUAUUGUGAACACUGGUCUUCUUCACGCACAGAUUGGAACAUCCUCGCCUGCUUUCUACAAUGUCUGUUUUCAGUCAGAAGUCUAAGCCUGUCAGAUGGAGUAAGGAGAUGAGUGCCAGUCAGAACAUCGCUGACAGCAGCAGGAAGAAGACCAGUCUGCUGAAAGACAACAGCUGGAUCAGACGCAGCAUGGAGGAGGAGGAGGAGCUAGUGGAUCUGAGGUGGGCCAGCCCAACCCUUCCACUGCCAGCCCUAGCACCCCAGUCAACCAUCUGACCAAGAGCCCUCCACUUCCAACAAAGACCAAGACUGUGUCCUUCGUUUUAAGCACCACCUCAAAGAGCAUGAAAGACUCCAAGACAGCCAGAAGUCCUGGCAGCACCUCCCCAAAGUCCCUAAACUCCCCCACAAGCUCAUCGCUGAAGAGCCCAUCCUUGUCCCUCUUUACUGCAAGGGUCUUUUCCUCCCCCAAAAAACUAUUCUACUCCCCACUAAGCCCUCCAGAAGUACUCCCCCACUCCAUUACCCACAUCACUGAUGAAGAGCCACCGGCAGUCCCAACAACUCCACCACCUCCAACAACUCUACCACCACCACCCCCAACAACUCCACCACCACCUCCAACAACUGUACCACCACCACCACCCCCAACA